rnacentral:rRNA from 1 species
UACGAAGGGGGCUAGCGUUGCUCGGAAUCACUGGGCGUAAAGGGUGCGUAGGCGGGUCUUUAAGUCAGGGGUGAAAUCCUGGAGCUCAACUCCAGAACUGCCUUUGAUACUGAAGAUCUUGAGUGCGGGAGAGGUGAGUGGAACUGCGAGUGUAGAGGUGAAAUUCGUAGAUAUUCGCAAGAACACCAGUGGCGAAGGCGGCUCACUGGCCCGAUACUGACGCUGAGGCACG